AACCACAGAGUCACCAAUCGAUAGCCGCAAUCAACAAACCCUAAUUUCCUUUCUCUUUCCCAAGUUCAGAAUCAAAACCACAAAAAUCAUGAACAAUCUCAAUAAUAUUAUGAACAUUCAUACAUGUUCUUCAUAGAAUUUUCACACUUUUCACAAAACUUUCCAGCAACCCCAAGCACGAAUUCGGUUUUCAUAGUCACGACAACUCAAUCGGGUCCGAACAAGACGCGAAGACAACAAAGCAGAAAGCUCAAACAGAGUCAGAUUCGUAUCAAGCGAAGGUGAAGGAGAGUAGAUCAAAGCUUUUCCUUCGUUCCAUAAGUUUUAUCUCCAGAUCGUAACAGAUCCAAAGAGGUAACAAUUUCAUUAUCCUUCUUUCCUUUCUCACGUUUAAAAGCUGCAUGUGGUGUGAU
rnacentral:lncRNA from 1 species